AUGGGGCGGAAAAGCCUGAUCCAGCGACGCCGCGUGAGGGGACGAAGCCCUUCGGGGGUGUAAACCUCUGUUGUGAGGGACGAAUAAGAUCUGGAGGAAAUGCCAGAUCGAUGACGGUACCUCACGAGAAAGCCCCGGCUAACUACGUGCCAGCAGCCGCGGUAAUACGUAGGGGGCGAGCGUUACCCGGAUUCACUGGGCGUAAAGGGGGCGCAGGCGAUCCAGUAUGUCGGGUGUGAAAUCCCACAGCUCAACUGUGGAAUUGCGCCCGAAACUACUGGGUUUGGGGCUGGUAGAGGGAGACGGAACUGCUGGUGUAGGGGUGAAAUCCGUAGAUAUCAGCAGGAACGCCGGUGGGGAAGCCGGUCUCCUGGGCCAAGCCCGACGCUGAGGCCCGAAAGCUAGGGGAGCAAACCGGAUUAGAUACCCGGGUAGUCCUAGCCGUAAACGAUGCCCACUAGGUGUGGGGGAGUCAUUCCUCCGUGCUGUAGCUAACGCGUUAAGUGGGCCGCCUGGGGAGUACGCCCGCAAGGGUGAAACUCAAAGGAAUUGGCGGGACCCCGCACAAGCGGUGGAGCGUGUGGUUUAAUUGGAUGCUAAGCCAAGAACCUUACCAGGGCUUGACAUGCAGGUGGUACCAACCCGAAAGGGAAGGGACCCUUUCCUUUUGGAAAGGGAGCCUGCACAGGUGGUGCACGGCCGUCGUCAGCUCGUGCCGUGAGGUGUUGGGUUAAGUCCCGCAACGAGCGCAGCCCCUGCCCUUAGUUGCCAGCGGUUCGGCCGGGCACUCUAAGGGGACCGCCGGCGACGAGCCGGAGGAAGGAGGGGACGACGUCAGGUACUCGUGCCCUUUAUGCCCUGGGCUACACACGCGCUACAAUGGGUGGUACAGUGGGUCGCGACCUCGCGAGAGGGAGCCAAUCCCCAAAACCAUCCUCAGUUCAGAUCGCAGGCUGCAACCCGCCUGCGUGAAGCCGGAAUCGCUAGUAAUCGCGGAUCAGCCAUGCCGCGGUGAAUACGUUCCCGGGGUU
rnacentral:rRNA from 1 species